rnacentral:rRNA from 1 species
UGCGCAGGCGGGCUAAUAAGUCAGUGGUGAAAUCUUUCGGCUCAACCGGGAAACUGCCAUUGAUACUGUUAGUCUUGAGUUCGGUUGAGGUAGGCGGAAUGUGUAAUGUAGCGGUGAAAUGCUUAGAUAUUACACAGAACACCAAUUGCGUAGGCAGCUUACUAGACCGACACUGACGCUGAGGCACGAAAGCGUGGGGAGCGAACAGGAUUAGAUACCCUGGUAGUCC